ensembl:lncRNA
GUGAUGUUUGCGUGAUGUUUGCGUGAUGUUUGCGUGAUGUUUGCGUGAUGUUUGCGUGAUGUUUGCGUGAUGUUUGGCUUUGUGUGUUUUUAAACUGCUUGUGUUCAUUGUAAUCCCUAUCAACAAGUUAAGAACACCAACUGGCUGUGCUCAACAGUGUUGGGAAAAUGUUUUUGCCACGACCUUUUGCCUACAGAAUGGACUCAUUUUCCCUGAGGUUGCCUUAACCGCAUGAUCGACCUGGCUAUGACCCAAGAACUGUUGUACCUGGCCAUAGCGGCCCUUCAAAGCUCCCUGGUCCUGUCGCAUCUGGGAGUUGUGGUGUUGUCCAAGUGUUCAGCGUUCUGAUCUGAACUCUUAUAAAAGGAUUUGUAAGACUGCUGCUUCCCCCUUCAUUCCUCAGACUCUGAACAGGCUGGGUGUGUUCCUUCUGGAGUACCUUACCCUAGUAUACUUCCACUACCUCACCUUUCAGUCUCCAAGUAAGUUCUAGGCAGGGCUUCUCUCAGAUUGAAUGUCUGAAGACCAACGGUUCCCACUUCCUGAGGGUGCAGUGGCGGCAGGUUCUAUUCCAGCCCCACUCCCUGCUACAGCAGCCCCACCCUGAGUUGUUAGCCCCGAGCCUAGCCAAGAAGGGCUUGAGGCUAAUUAUGGUGAGCUGUUCAUCACUGAAGAUCCCUGCUGGCACCAGCCAUCUCAGAACCUGCUAUGAGCAUGGGAAUGACCAAUGUAACUCGGCCAGCUUCAUCUGGUACCAUCCUACUGUCACAUACAAACAGCUGUUUCCUGAACCCAGUGAUACCAAGGUAAAGAGGACUCUAGCUCUGCCAAGGGUCAGAUUGGCUCCAGUCCUUCCCAGCAGAGCCAGGGAGUAACUAUGGUUUUCAUGACAGUACCGUCAUGAAACCACAGGUUGUAGCUGGUUCCAGUUCUUCUCAGGUCAUCUCCAGUUCUGACCCUCGGAACCUUUGACAGGAUGUUCUAGACCCGUGGUCCCCUGGCUUAAUCAGUGCUCUCUGGAAUGAGUCAGAAGUAGGGUUCCUGGAUUUCUGUACAUAAUUGUAACCAAUAUACGUUGCUAAUACUUUUAGCACUUUGUUGUGUUCCUCGGAUCCCAGUCAACGGCUGUAGUUUUGGACAUCACUAUUACUACAGUCAUAGGGUCUACUAAGCCUCUAAGAACAACUUGGAUAAUGAAUUAACCAGGUUCAAGUUUUGAAGUCUCUCUGUCCUGAGUAACACUUGUUUCUUGUCUUCCUCAGCACCAUCCAUCGACACUAACCUGCAUUCCUAUGUUUUCAUGACUUAAUAAAUGAUACAAUGUUUAUUUUGUCUAUUGACUAAAGAACUGAUUGGCUUUCUACAGUUUUUAAUGUAAUAUUUUUUAAGUCUCUUGGGUGUUAUACUUUAAUUGAAAGUUGCGACUGGUACAUUAGUUCAAAUCUUAACAUCUCUUAAAUUGGCUGGCUAUAACAUGACUGCAGUCCUAGGCUCUAUGACUGCAUAUAUUUUCUAACAAAUAUAACCAAGAAGGGUUAGUUUUAAGCUGUGACCAAGCAAUUGACAUUAGAUCACUUAAUUGGACAGUGGGCUUCCAAAUUUGUCUAACAAACCACUAGUCUCCAGAACUUGAACCUGGUUAAUUCAAUGUUAUCCAAGUCGUUCUCAGAGGCUUAGUAGUCCCAAUAUUUUAAAUGGUUAAUCAACUUUUAUCUGACACGGGAAUGGCUCUUACUGUGGCAAUUUUGCUUGACUUGAGAUAUUAGCCAUUUUCAGUGCAACAUACUGACUAAUGAACUACGCAAGAGAUUUUGUAGGCAGAACACAUUGGCGUUGGAUUCUAUUGCAUUGACAAGCACUACUCAGCCCACUACUCUACGUAGACCGGUGCGGCAUAAACAAUCAGCGGUACACUAAGCCAGAAUGCAAAUUGACCAUUGCCAUAUAUGGAUCUGUGCCGUUUACUUUGAACUGGAUGGUGUUUACAGCAUCAGCGAGUAGAUGCGCUUGUUUUGACAUCAAAGCAUCAGCUGCAUGUAGCCACGUGUGCAAUUUUGUUCAUAUUCUUUGAAAGUUAUUAGCCCAGUUUGAUCAUUUGUAGUCAGCAAUGGUGAUUGACGAGCACAAUGUGUACAUUUCUAGGCAUAUUUGAGAAGCGAAUGCUUGU